UACGGGGGGGGCAAGCGUUGUUCGGAAUUACUGGGCGUAAAGGGCUCGUAGGUGGCCAACUAAGUCGAACGUGAAAUCCCCGGGCUCAACCCGGGAACUGCGUCCGAUACUGGCAGGCUUGAAUCCGGGAGAGGGAUGCGGAAUUCCAGGUGUAGCGGUGAAAUGCGUAGAUAUCUGGAGGAACACCGGUGGCGAAGGCGGCAUCCUGGACCGGCAUUGACGCUGAGGCGCGAAAGCCAGGGGAGCAAACGGG
rnacentral:rRNA from 1 species